rnacentral:lncRNA from 1 species
AUGAACUUUCCUCCGAGACAAUUAGGGGCUCGGCCGGGGCGGGGGCCGAUGAAAGGCCGCCUUUGUGCGGUCGAGACGGCGCGGCUCGGCUCGGCCCCCCCGGGCUUCCUGCGGCCCCGCGGUGACCCGCCCUGCGGCACGGCCCGACGGGGGCAGCGGCACUCCCCGGGCGGCCCCUCCGGGCUGCACCCCGCACACGAGAGCCGCUGUGCCGCUCCUCCCGCCCGCGGCUGCUGCGGAAGGACAGAGGAACCCAGCCCUUGGAGAUCCGUCCUUAAAGGAGCAGAAGUUGUAGAACUACAUGGAUGUUGAAGUAAUGAAGCAAUGAACUGCAGCAAUUGGUUCAACACAAUCUCAAAGGCAGCAUGAGCAGCUUUUGGGCCAAAUGCCAUUUCUGGCCCAAAGCAUCUGCUGGGGAAAGGCACUAUAUUGCUUGUGGCUUUUUUUUUUUUUUUUUUACCUAACGUUCAUCUGAAAAUAAAUUGCAGGCCAGAACAGGUGGACA